GACGAACGCUGGCGGCGUGCUUAACACAUGCAAGUCGAACGGAAAGGCCCUGCUUUUGUGGGGUGCUCGAGUGGCGAACGGGUGAGUAACACGUGAGUAACCUGCCCUUGACUUUGGGAUAACUUCAGGAAACUGGGGCUAAUACCGGAUAGGAGCUCCUGCUGCAUGGUGGGGGUUGGAAAGUUUCGGCGGUUGGGGAUGGACUCGCGGCUUAUCAGCUUGUUGGUGGGGUAGUGGCUUACCAAGGCUUUGACGGGUAGCCGGCCUGAGAGGGUGACCGGCCAAAAUUGGGCUGGGGUUCCGGCCCGGCUUCCUCCGGGAGGAAGCAGUGGGGAAUUUGGCACAAGGGGCGGAGGCCUGAGGCAGAACCGCGGCGUGGGGGAUGCGGGCCUUCGGGUGGUAACCCGCUUUCGCUUGUGCCGAGGCGUGAGGGCGGUUAAUGGUAAAGAAGCACCGGCUAACUACGUG
rnacentral:rRNA from 1 species